GUCGGCAGUUGUUCUCAAUCGUGAAUUGCCGGAGGCCAUUGAAUUUCCGGUUUCUUUUUUCUUUUGGUCGGUUUCGGAAGCAUGGAUUCAGCCUGAGGAACUACCUCUGGAAUGUUGGCCGCUUGUACUUCGACAGCAGUGAGCUUACUGAAGGUAUCGACAUCCCGAAGCAUCUAACACUGCCAAGAUUUCAGAUGGCAAGGAAUGACAUACUUCAAUCCCAUAGAUAUUUUGGAGGCAGAAUAAAAGCGAAGCAAAAAAUCGAUUUUCCAUCAGUCAUCAAAGUGGGAACAAUGGGCCUCUGCCUCUGCAACAUUGCAUUUCAUCACCCCAAAUCAUGUCAAAUUAUUAUUAUUAUUAUGCCAUGGAGAUUGCAGAUCAUACUAUAGUGGCUUGGGAAAUGGAUAUAUCCCUUUUUCAGUUUCCAUGUGCAAAGGUCAAGCUGAGGUUGGUCAGUGCACAUCUACCAUGUUAAUUAUUAUCAUCAUUUCAAUUAAAUAAUUAUGUGGGUAUUGACAGUCAGUGCUCCGGGACUGUGGAUCCCAGGACCGUCGGAAUAGGAUGUUGCGCGCCUUCCGGACCGUGGAGUCCCGGGAUCCUGCAAGAAUCAUAUUUAUAUUUAAUUUUUUUUAAUAUUCCUUAUUCCCUCCAGUAUGAAAAUGUCCAAAUUUAUACAUUUAUAAAAAAUAUCUACAAGAAUAAGGUGACACGUUUCUAAGAGGGUGCUUUGUGAUUGGCUGAUGAUAUAGGUAGUUAUCGUGCACCCGCAAGCACAGGAUCAUAGACUCUCUCGCCGUCCAGUGGACCCUAGCUACCACGCUCUUCGUGGGACCCGGGCUUCUCCAUACCUACCAGGCUCGGACCCGAGCCAGAAAUUUGAAUUUUUGAACGUUGAGAAACGAAAAUGACAGAAACACCCUUGGUCUUUAAUUUAUGUGGCUGCCUACAAUCCAACUACCUUAUUUUAAUUUCAGUGGCUGCACUUAACCAAAUUAAAAGAAUCAUCAAAUUAAAUAAGUUUGGUGCCCACUUUCUCAUCAACGAUAUAUGCAUUUAGUA